UACAGAGGUCUCGAGCGUUGUUCGGAUUCAUUGGGCGUAAAGGGUGCGUAGGUGGCACUGUAAGUCGGGUGUGAAAUCCUGAGGCUUAACCUCGGAACUGCAUUCGAUACUGCGGUGCUUGAGGACUGGAGAGGAGACUGGAAUUCCUGGUGUAGCGGUGAAAUGCGCAGAUAUCAGGAGGAACACCGGUGGCGAAGGCGGGUCUCUGGGCCGAAACUGACGCUGAGGAGCGAAAGCGUGGGGAGCAAACAGG
rnacentral:rRNA from 1 species